AGGCAGAGGUGGAUUUUUUUAAAACCAGAGCAUGUCCCUCCUCCAGUAAUGAGAGGCACUGGCACCCAGGGAACUUCCCCUGCAGUCACCCCAGGCUGGGAUACUUCACACUCUCCCCACUGCUAGUUUAGAUGUAGCAGGAACUACCUGGUACAAUUAAUCAUCUUUAAUCUGGGAAGUGCACACAGCCGUCUGAGGAGGGUGCGUGUCCCGAGCUCGGGUCAUCAGGAAAGCUCAGCGGGAGAGAGGAAGGAGGGCAGCCUGACCAGCAGUCUCCCAGCCAGAUUUAUCGGUCUCCAUGGGAGAAACAGGAGCAGUUUGAGCCAGUGCAACACAGGAAGAAAGCCUGAAAUUCAACAAUAACCAGGAGAUGGGAAAAGCACCCUGUGCACAGCCGGAGUCCCAGUGCUGGGAUGCAUCCAGAGUCUGUGUGAGAACACGCUGACAGCUGGAUAAAUUGCCUCGAGGCAGGUGCUUCCCCUGGAGCCCCACGGAGCAGGAACAGCCAGAGCCAUUUGCAGGCAGCCCCAGAAGCACUGCCAUCCAUCCCUCAGACCUGGCUCUCGCCUUUCUCACCCAUUAGUGCUCCUCAGCUGGCUCCUCUCACCCUGACUCUCAGCCCUUUUCUUCUCCUUUCUUGUCUCAUCUCAGGAAUGACUUUGCAGCCCUCGCUUGCCCAGAGCCCUUCCACUGCCUGGAAAUGGUGCCUGGUCCCAAGGGAAUGGGCAGGAGCAGAGCCUGUUCCUGGGCUUUAUUGAGGCUGGGAUCUGGAGCUGAUGAGGGAAUUAAGCUGUUUAAACCCAAAAUGCAUGGAAAUGCAGAGUCACCCUGGAGACACCCCCAAAACUACAGCUGCUCCAAAUCUGGAAGAAGCCAGGACUAUGGAAAACCUCAAACAGGCAGGGCUGGCCGGGCAGGAUGAGUCAUCCACAGGGAAAUGCUGCUGAUGGGCUCCUCCUGAAUGUGCAGACAUCCUGCUCUGCUGCGUCAGGAGCCUCUCUCCCAAAGGCUGCUCCCCAGUGCAUACUGCGCUUUGCUCCCACCUCGCCCUGGGCAGAGCUCCCAGCUGUGACUCCAGCACAGAAAAGCAGCUGGAAGUGUGUUCAGUGCUGACCGGAGGCUACAGCCCUGUGCCAGAGGUUCUCCUGCCUUCCACAUACACCCACCCUUCUCCCCAUAGCCUGCCUAAGAACUGAGACCCCAAACUCAGGGCCUGAGUGGAUGCCUACAAGGAUUAUAUUGGGGAAAUACAAUACCUCCAGCAGAUUAGGAGACAUUGAAUUAAAACCCCUGAAAGGUUUCUUUCUUCAAGGAAGCAAGACAUUGAUUGUGCUAAAUUACCAGUUUCUGCUGAACACGAUAAUGCAUCGACUGAGGCAGAUGAAGCAUCUGAGACCAGCCACUAAUGGCACUGGCACAUCAGACGUGAUGUUGCAGCCAUAAAUUGCCCACUGGAUAUAAAAGUCCCAACACAAUAAAAUCUGGAAAAUCACAUUGUCCUCACAAGCCCGAGUCAAGUGAAUCAGUGAGAUCUCAAGUAACUGCAGUUCUGCACUGAUAAAUAAUAAACUUCAAGGUAACAACA